GGGGACGACUUGUCCUCCGCUAGAUCGUCGUCCUUGAUGCCUCGUUCCCGCACGCCUGUUUGCCCGACUUCUGCUCUCCGUGCACCGACCCACGCCUGUCCACUGACCACCCUCUUUUGACAGAGCGAGGGAGUAGCAGUCCUUGGCUCUGAACUGCAUGAACCUCAUAUUGGACGGAUGGGUCAGCUCGGUGAUGAUGCUGAGGCUCGGGAACAGUCUAAAAACAGCGGCUCACACGAAACGAGACGUCUUCCUCGGCACUCAUGGUGCUCUCCUUGUCCACGACCACCAAGUUGUCGGCGUAGAUGAUUCCACACUGCAGCAGGUUGUCCAAGCUGAUCCAUUAAAGCAACAGAGAAACACGUUUCCCCCAAAACUUUACUGUAAUGAGUUACAUCAUAACUGUACGAGGAAGCGUAAUCGUUUUUCAUGUUGAAAUUAUACAAGUGUGAGCAGUUUGUGAAAGACAGAAAAAUGGCAUUAGAAUCUUUUAUUCUCAUAUUAUGCUGUUAUUUUCCAAAGCUAUUUAUCCAAAAUCACA